UUUCAGGAACAGUCCCCGGUAAAAAAGGAGAAAUUGGGUUUAUCGGCUCGAGAGGAGAUAGGGGUUCAGCAGGAGAUAUUGGAGCUAAAGGAAUUCCGGGAAGAGAAGGCAGGAAAGGAUUUGUUGGAUUGAAAGGCGGGAUGGGAGACAGAGGAAAUACUGGACCAAUUGGAUCAACAGGACAGAUGGGCAUGAAAGGAUCGAAAGGAAACAAAGGAAACCAAGGAAAUGCCGGACAGCAAGGAAACAGGGGAGACAGAGGACUUCAAGGACCACAUGGAAAAGACGGUGCAGAUGGAAAGGAUGGAUCGACAGGAGAUAAAGGCGACAGAGGAAAUACAGGUAAAGCGAA